rnacentral:rRNA from 1 species
GUUUGUUUGGAGUUAUAAAGAAUUUAACCUGCCCCCUGAUUAACUAUUAAUUAAAGGGCCGCAGUAUUAUAACUGUGCAAAGGUAGCAUAAUCAUUAGGUUUUUAAUUGAAAUCUCGUAUGAAUGGUUGGACAAAAGAAAGACUCUCUUUAUAUUAAGUUUUGAAUUUAACUUUUAAGUGAAAAGGCUUAAAUAUUCUAAAGGGACGAUAAGACCCUAUAAAACUUUACAUUGUCAUUAAUUUUGAUUGAAUUUAUGAAAUAAAAAUUUUAUUUGAUUAUUUGUUAUGUUGGGGAGACAUAAGUAAAAUAUUUUUUUAACUGCUUGAUAGUUAUACAAUUAUUAGUGAAUAAGUAGAAGAUCCUUUUUAAGAUUAGUAGAUUAAGUUACUUUAGGGAUAACAGUGUAAUUUCUUUUGAGAGUUCUUAUCGAAAGAGAAGGUUGCAACCUCGAUGUUGAAUUAAAAUAUCUAUAUAAUGGAGAGGUUAUAUAAGAAGGUCUGUUCGACCUUGAAAAUUUUACAUGAUUUGAGUUCAAACCGGUGUGAG